GGAAAUGGAAAGUUAGUGCUUAAUAGGUACAGAAUUUCAGCUGGAGAAGAUGAAACAGUUCUGGAAAUGGAUAGUAGUGAUGAUCACACAACAAUGUGAAUGUACCAAAUGCCACAGAUCUGCACACUUAAAAAUGGUUAUGUACAUUUUACCACAAAAAGAAAAGAAACUCAGAGUUUAGAGAAUAAAGGAGUGGAGUGAGAUCCACUAGAGCGAAU
rnacentral:lncRNA from 1 species